rnacentral:rRNA from 1 species
AAACCAAAGCUGGCGACCGGCGCACGGGUGAGUAACACGUAUCCAACCUGCCUCAUACUCGGGGAUAGCCUUUCGAAAGAAAGAUUAAUAUCCGAUAGCAUAUAUUUCCCGCAUGGGUUUUAUAUUAAAGAAAUUCGGUAUGAGAUGGGGAUGCGUUCCAUUAGUUUGUUGGGGGGGUAACGGCCCACCUAGUCAACGAUGGAUAGGGGUUCUGAGAGGAAGGUCCCCCACAUUGGAACUGAGACACGGUCCAA